rnacentral:rRNA from 1 species
UUUGACCUUCGGAUCAGGUA